CAACGAAGCACGCCCAUCCAACCU
rnacentral:siRNA from 1 species